rnacentral:rRNA from 1 species
GACGAACGCUGGCGGCGUGCUUAACACAUGCAAGUCGAACGGAAAGGCCCUGCUUUUGUGGGGUGCUCGAGUGGCGAACGGGUGAGUAACACGUGAGUAACCUGCCCUUGACUUUGGGAUAACUUCAGGAAACUGGGGCUAAUAACGGCUAGGAGCUCCUGCUGCAUGGUGGGGGUUGGAAAGUUUCGGCGGGUGGGGAUGGACUCGCGGCUUAUCAGCUUGGUGGUGGGGUAGUGGCUUACCAAGGCUUUGACGGGUAGCCGGCCUGAGAGGGUGACCGGCCACAUUGGGACUGAGAUACGGCCCGGACUCCUACGGGAUGCAGCAGUGGGGAAUAUUGCACAAUGGGCGGAAGCCGGAUGCAGCAACGCCGCGUGCGGGAUGACGGCCUUCGGGUAGUAAACCGCUUUCGCCUGUGACGAAGCGUGAGUGACGGUAAUGGGUAAAGAAGCACCGGCUAACUACGUG